AAGAAUUUAAAGGUCGAACAGACCUAAAUAAUGGGCUCCUGCACCCAAAUUUUUUCUUAAUCCAACAUCGAGGUCGCAAUCUGCUUUGUCGAUAUGAGCUCUCAAAAACAAUUACG
rnacentral:rRNA from 1 species